GACGAACGCUGGCGGCGUGCUUAACACAUGCAAGUCGAACGGAAAGGCUCCUGCUUGCAGGGGUACUCGAGUGGCGAACGGGUGAGUAACACGUGGGUGAUCUGCCUUGUACUCUGGGAUAAGCUUGGGAAACUGGGUCUAAUACCGGAUAAUAACUGCCUUUAGUGUGGUGGUUGGAAAGUUUUUUCGGUGCAAGAUGAGCUCGCGGCCUAUCAGCUUGUUGAUGGGGUAAUGGCCUACCAAGGCGUCGACGGGUAGCCGGCCUGAGAGGGUGUACGGCCACAUUGGGACUGAGAUACGGCCCAGACUCCUACGGGAGGCAGCAGUGGGGAAUAUUGCACAAUGGGCGGAAGCCUGAUGCAGCGACGCCGCGUGGGGGAUGACGGCCUUCGGGUUGUAAACUCCUUUCGACAGGGACGAAGCUUUUUGUGACGGUACCUGUAUAAGAAGCACCGGCUAACUACGUG
rnacentral:rRNA from 1 species